rnacentral:rRNA from 1 species
GAUGAACGCUGGCGGCGUGCCUAAUACAUGCAAGUCGAGCGAACGGACGAGAAGCUUGCUUCUCUGAUGUUAGCGGCGGACGGGUGAGUAACACGUGGAUAACCUACCUAUAAGACUGGGAUAACUUCGGGAAACCGGAGCUAAUACCGGAUAAUAUUUUGAACCGCAUGGUUCAAAAGUGAAAGACGGUCUUGCUGUCACUUAUAGAUGGAUCCGCGCUGCAUUAGCUAGUUGGUAAGGUAACGGCUUACCAAGGCAACGAUGCAUAGCCGACCUGAGAGGGUGAUCGGCCACACUGGAACUGAGACACGGUCCAGACUCCUACGGGAGGCAGCAGUAGGGAAUCUUCCGCAAUGGGCGAAAGCCUGACGGAGCAACGCCGCGUGAGUGAUGAAGGUCUUCGGAUCGUAAAACUCUGUUAUUAGGGAAGAACAUAUGUGUAAGUAACUGUGCACAUCUUGACGGUACCUAAUCAGAAAGCCACGGCUAACUACGUGCCAGCAGCCGCGGUAAUACGUAGGUGGCAAGCGUUAUCCGGAAUUAUUGGGCGUAAAGCGCGCGUAGGCGGUUUUUUAAGUCAGAUGUGAAAGCCCACGGCUCAACCGUGGAGGGUCAUUGGAAACUGGAAAACUUGAGUGCAGAAGAGGAAAGUGGAAUUCCAUGUGUAGCGGUGAAAUGCGCAGAGAUAUGGAGGAACACCAGUGGCGAAGGCGACUUUCUGGUCUGUAACUGACGCUGAUGUGCGAAAGCGUGGGGAUCAAACAGGAUUAGAUACCCUGGUAGUCCACGCCGUAAACGAUGAGUGCUAAGUGUUAGGGGGUUUCCGCCCCUUAGUGCUGCAGCUAACGCAUUAAGCACUCCGCCUGGGGAGUACGACCGCAAGGUUGAAACUCAAAGGAAUUGACGGGGACCCGCACAAGCGGUGGAGCAUGUGGUUUAAUUCGAAGCAACGCGAAGAACCUUACCAAAUCUUGACAUCCUUUGACAACUCUAGAGAUAGAGCCUUCCCCUUCGGGGGGCAAAGUGACAGGUGGUGCAUGGUUGUCGUCAGCUCGUGUCGUGAGAUGUUGGGUUAAGUCCCGCAACGAGCGCAACCCUUAAGCUUAGUUGCCAUCAUUAAGUUGGGCACUCUAAGUUGACUGCCGGUGACAAACCGGAGGAAGGUGGGGAUGACGUCAAAUCAUCAUGCCCCUUAUGAUUUGGGCUACACACGUGCUACAAUGGACAAUACAAAGGGCAGCGAAACCGCGAGGUCAAGCAAAUCCCAUAAAGUUGUUCUCAGUUCGGAUUGUAGUCUGCAACUCGACUACAUGAAGCUGGAAUCGCUAGUAAUCGUAGAUCAGCAUGCUACGGUGAAUACGUUCCCGGGUCU